rnacentral:rRNA from 1 species
AAGAGAGCUUGAUUGCAAGACAUACAGGUCGAGCAAGGAUGAAAAUCGGACUUAGUGAUCCGGUGGUUCUGCGUGGAAGGGCCAUCGCUCAACGGAUAAAAGCUACCCUGGGGAUAACAGGCUUAUCUCCCCCAAGAGUCCACAUCGACGGGGAGGUUUGGAACCUCGAUGUCGGCUCAUCACAUCCUGGGGCUGUAGUAGGUCCCAAGGGUUGGGCUGUUCGCCCAUUAAAGUGGUACGCGAGCUGGGUUCAGAACGUCGUGCGACAGUUCGGUCCCUAUCCGUCGCAGGCGUAGGAAAUUUGAGAAGACCUGUCCUUAGUACGAGAGGACCGGGAUGGACGUACCUCUGGUGUACCAGUUGUCCUGCCAAGGGCAUGGCUGGGUAGCUA